rnacentral:rRNA from 1 species
GACGGACGCUGGCGGCGUGCUUAACACAUGCAAGUCGAACGGGCCCGCUCUCUUUUUUGGGGGUGGGUUGAGUGGCGAACGGGUGAGUAUCACGUGAGUAACCUGCCCCCUGCUCCUGGAUAACUGCUUGAAAGGGCGGCUAAUACGGGGUGUGCCGGCUGGUCCGCAUGGGCCUGGUCGGGAUAGUUUCAUCUUCGGGUGUUUCGGUGGGGGAUGGGCUCGCGGCCUAUCAGCUUGUUGGUGGGGUGAUGGCCCACCAAGGCGGUGACGGGUAGCCGGCCUGAGAGGGUGGGCGGCCACACUGGGACUGAGACACGGACCAGACUCCUGCGGGAGGCAGCAGUGGGGGGUAUUGCACAAUGGGCGGAAGCCUGAUGCAGCGACGUCGCGUGAGGGAUGGAGGCCUUCGGGUUGUGAACCUCUUUCUCCGGUGGUGAAGGCCCUGUCCGUUGCGGCGGGGUUGACGGUAGCCGGGUAUGAAGCGCCGGCUAACUACGUG